GAUGAACGCUGGCGGCGUGCCUAAUACAUGCAAGUCGAGCGAACGGACGAGAAGCUUGCUUCUCUGAUGUUAGCGGCGGACGGGUGAGUAACACGUGGAUAACCUACCUAUAAGACUGGGAUAACUUCGGGAAACCGGAGCUAAUACCGGAUAAUAUUUUGAACCGCAUGGUUCAAAAGUGAAAGACGGUCUUGCUGUCACUUAUAGAUGGAUCCGCGCUGCAUUAGCUAGUUGGUAAGGUAACGGCUUACCAAGGCAACGAUGCAUAGCCGACCUGAGAGGGUGAUCGGCCACACUGGAACUGAGACACGGUCCAGACUCCUACGAGAGGCAGCAGUAGGGAAUCUUACGCAAUGGGCGAAAGCCUGACGGAGCAACGCCGCGUGAGUGAUGAAGGUCUUCGGAUCGUAAAGCUCUGUUAUUAGGGAAGAACAUAUGUGUAAGUAACUGUGCACAUCUUGACGGUACCUAAUCAGAAAGCCACGGCUAACUACGUG
rnacentral:rRNA from 1 species